rnacentral:lncRNA from 10 species
CCCUAAUGGCUGAAGAGCAUCAUCAAGAGAAGGGGAAGAUGAAGCUGACUCCCUGCACCUGCUUCCUCCCCAUUCUGUUGGCUCGGGUCGGUGUGGGCUUUUAGCCUCUCUGAAUGUGGAGGUUCCCAGGGAUACGGGGAACCACAAAGGUCCAUAUUCUCAAAUGCAGCACUUCUUAACCAAGGCAUGGCUUUUUCUAGGUGGUCGGAGGCCAAAUACUCUGCUGCUGGCCAUCCCAACCAGUAGGCACAGGGAAAUGCCAGAAAAGAAGCAGCUGGGGCUUCUCUUGCUGAGGAAGAGGGUGAAAUGAACCUUGCUUGCCGCAGCCAGUUUCUGACCCUGCUGCAGAGAUGACGGAUGAGAUUCCAGCUGUGAUGGAGAUGUGGUCCUGGGAGGCCAUUCUAGGCACUGCUCUUCAAAGAGGUUGUCUCCAUCCUGGGAUAGAAGUUCAUAAGGGGAAAUGUACAAACACAGUUUUCCUGCCACCUCCAAGCUGCUUGGGGCCGGACUGGAUGCCCUGCCGGCCCCUCACUCUUCUUACCUUUGAACAUCGACCCUGGCCAGGCAUUUGUUUAGGCAGGUUUUCUAAUUUAACUUUUACAACAACCUGUGAAAUGGCUACGAUUAACCCGCUUUCAUGGCUGAGCACCUGGCUGGGAGAUGUAAGGUACUUGCCCAAGGAAACCAAUCAAUUAUCAACCUGAAUUUGCCUGACUUCCCACUCAUGCUUUGGUUGCAGUUCCAGAGUCUGCUACAGGAUCUCCCAUACAGAGUGGCCUGAAGGCACUGGUUUCCCUUGGGAAACAGCGAACUCAUGUCCCUGGACUUCUCCCCUGUGGCCUCCCUCCCUGCUUCCCUGGGACUGUUAGUACCUUCUCCUAUGUUUCAUGUUGACCAUACAGCUUUGCCUUUUUCCAGUCUAGGUUUAUGCCAGACAUUGUGUCUGUUAUUUUCCCUUUUUAAAGUGAUAUCUGGGCUGAGUGCAAUGGCUCAUGCCUGUAAUCCCAGUACUUUGGGAGGC